GCUCACGGCGGCUGCACAUGCACUAAAAUUGGAGUGACACAGAGAAGGUCAGCAUGACCCCUGCGCAAGGAUGCCACUCAAGUUCAUGAAGUGCUCCACAUUAAG